UUCAGACUGACGUCGCUUCCUGUAUUUUAAAUAUGGCGGAUAAACGCAUGAGAAUGUCCCGCUGGUUUUGGAGCUUAUAAAAGUUAUUUUAUGACAUUUAUUUGCGGCUGAUAAGAACACAUCCCAAAGCAAAACAAAGGUUUCCACUAUGAGCAGCAGGAGGAAACGCGCGCCGCCGGUGCGCAUGGACGAGGAGGCCAAGAGGAGAGUGGAGUGGAAUAUGCUUGAAGAUCGGAGAAAUGAAGGAGAUUGUGAAGACAUUCAGGAGUCAAUCCCAGCACCGUCAGACAGCUGUCAACCUGGACCAGUGAUUGAGAGCAGCCAGGAAGAGGAAAGCCAGUGUUUUAUAUCUUCUGCAGGCACAGAAGAAGGACCAUCAGAAGAGCAUCCAAGCUGCUCCAUAAAGGAUUCUCUUCCUGAUACCAUAGAACUGAAUGUCAUGCCUCUUUCUGCUCUCGAACAGGGAUGGAAUGCGCUGAUUGGAGAGUUUAACCUGUAUCCAAAGAUUCCUUUUGUGCUUGGAGACGAUUCCUUCUGCCUGCAGCAAACAGGUGACACACUAACUUUGAGACUGAAUAGUGAUGAAUUGGAGGUUGAGACGGGCAGAAGUGAUCCUGUCUGUCCUGUGCCGAUUGAAUGUUCCUUUGGUGGAAAAUUGUUGGAGGAUCUGGAUUGGCUACAAAAGAGAAAGGUCAUUAAAUUGUGCCAUGCUUCAGGAGAUGUAUCAGUGAAGCUGAAAAUUUUUCUUCUCGAAUCCGGGUUGGGCAGACCAGAAUUCCUCAGUGAAGGAAAUGGGCGCAUUAAAAAAGCCAGUCAGCUUCUGCAGAAAUUAAUGGAAUUGUUUCAUGACUUCGUCAUCCCUGAGGUGAUGGAGAAUGAAGAGGAGGAGUGUGACACUGAUCUGGAGCGUCAGAACGUUGAGGAGCUGUACGAUCAUGUUAGACACCUCCACCAGACAGAAGCAGUGGAGCAGAGCUUCGACGUCCAGCACCCUGGCCUCAUACCUGUGCUGAGACCCUAUCAGAGUCAGGCGGUCAGCUGGAUGCUGAGGAGAGAGAAGUACAAAAGCAGCACCACUCAAGAGCAAAGGUUGCAUUUUCUUUGGAGGGAAAUGGUCACGAUUUGUGGCAAAAAACUCUUUUACAAUCCCUACACCGGAUGCUUGAUCCGAGAGUUUCCUCUUGCUGGUGUGGACUGGCCUGGCGGGAUCCUUGCUGAUGAGAUGGGGCUUGGGAAAACCGUGGAAGUACUGGCCCUUAUUCUGUGUAACACCCGGCAAAACCUGGAGCACGGGGUUCUCACUUUACCUGUGGGACGAUCUGUGAAUUACUUUGUCCCUCCUCCACCAUUAGAGAGACAACGAACCAUUAAACAUGAGGUGAGACCCAAGGAGAAGAUCAUUUAUCCAGCUGUUCGUGAGAUGCUGUUGACUGCGAUCAAGGAAAUGAAGGUUGGGAAAGGAGCGUCAAUCAAUGCCAUUUUUGCAUAUUUACGGACCAUGUACAAGUACGACACCCUAAAGAACCGUAACCACAUAAAGAAAAUCUUGACCAAACUCAUUAGUGAGAACAUUGUGGAACAGAUCAAAGGACGAGGGCUAGCAGGAUCCUUCAAACUGGGGAAGAACUACAAAGAAAAGAAGAAGAAGCCCGCCGCUCAUCGAACUAAAUCUUUUGACAAGGCCACUCCAAGGAGAACAUCUCGUCGAGUUUCUUCUCAGGAUAAAGAGGCAUCGCUGACCUCUUAUACCACAGCUUCAGAUUCUGAAGACAAUGUUGAACCUCCUCUCCUGACAGAGGAACUGAAGUGUGAGCCAGAUUCCCUUCUGGACGCAGAGAAUCCACAACAGAAGACGUCAGUAGACAUCACAGAUGAAGAUGAUAAAGAAACCGCAGACAAACCCCAACAUAAAAUGACAAAAAACAUCCAUAUCGAGAGUACUGAAUCAGAUCUUACACAAAACUUAAAGCCUGAACUCGAAACCCCAACUAGAGCGUCUGUGAUCCCGUUUAAUACUUCAGAUUACCGCUUCGAGUGCAUCUGUGGAGAGCUUGGGUUGGUGGACUAUAAGCCACGGGUUCAGUGCCUCAAUUGUCUGCUGUGGCAGCAUGCAGAGUGUGUCAACUACAAAGAGGAGAACCUAGAAACCACUCCGUUUUAUUGCCCUCAUUGCCUGGUGGCAAUGACACCUGUGUCUACUGGAGCCACUCUUAUCAUCUCACCCAGCUCCAUCUGUCACCAAUGGGUGGAUGAAAUUAACCGGCACAUUCAUACUUCCUCCCUUAGAGUGCUGGUGUAUCAGGGUGUGAAGAGACAUGGUUUCAUCCAGCCCCACAUUCUGGCGGAGCAGGAUGUGGUCAUCACCACUUACGAUGUGCUGCGCACUGAACUCAAUUACGUCGACAUCCCCCACAGCAACAGCAAAGACGGCCGUCGAUUCCGCAACCAGAAGCGCUACAUGGCCAUACCGAGCCCUUUAGUGGCCGUGGAGUGGUGGCGUGUCUGCUUGGAUGAAGCUCAGAUGGUGGAGUGCACCACAGCUAAGGCAGCAGAGAUGGCUUUGCGUCUCACAUCUGUUAAUCGUUGGUGUGUCAGUGGAACACCUGUGCAGAGAGGUUUGGAAGACUUGUAUGGUCUUGUCCUGUUUUUGGGAGUUGAUCCCUAUUGGGUGAAGUACUGGUGGGACCAGUUACUCUAUCGCCCGUACCGCCACGGCAAUACAGGACCACUCUACAAUGUCAUUGGUCAAUUACUGUGGCGAUCUGCCAAAAAAGAUGUCAUUGAUCAGAUCCAAAUCCCCCCUCAAACAGAAGAGAUCCACUGGCUUAACUUCUCCCCAGUAGAAGGACACUUUUACCACCGUCAGCAUGAGGUUUGCUCCCAGGAUGCUCUUGUAAAGCUAAGAAAGAUCUCUGACUGGUCACUAAAGUUGGGUAGUUUGGACCGACGUACCGUCUCUACCAUAUUAUACCCUCUCCUGCGUCUACGUCAGGCCUGCUGCCACCCGCAAGCUGUCAGAGGAGAAUUUCUGCCCCUCCAGAAGAGCACAAUGACAAUGGAGGAAUUGUUGAAGUCAUUGCAGAAGAAAUGUCGGGUGGAGUGUGAAGAAGCCCACAGGCAGCUGGUGUGUGCUCUAAAUGGUCUGGCUGGCAUCCACAUCAUUAGAGGAGAGUUUGCAGAUGCAGCAGAGAUGUACAGGGAAGUGUUGCGAUCAUCUGAAGAACAUAAAGCAAGACUGAAAACUGAUUCCCUUCAGAGGCUUCAUGCAACCCAUAAUCUGAUGGAGCUUCUAAAUGCAAAGCAUCCUGGGAUUCCUCCAACCCUGAGAGAUGACAGUCUCAAAGAAGAGGCUGAGCAGCUGAAGCAGCAUUACAUGGCAAAGGUGAAUUCUGAGGUUUCUGAAGCACAUCAGAACCUGCAACCUGUUCUUCAGCACAUUAAAGAGCUAAAACGCAAGGUGAACCUUCGCUCUCCCUGGUGGCUGGAUGUCAUACAGCAGGCCAUUCAGUACUCCAUGGAUGACGACCUGGUGGGUCGCAUCCAAAAUGAGCUCACUUGCAGCUAUAAACAACAAGCCAACAAGCUUUCAUUGGCAGACAAGUUUCGAGAUGCUCGUGGUCUUCAGUUUUUGCUCAGCACUCAAAUGGAUGAUUUGAUGAAAUCACAGAAAACGGUCCAGGAUGCUGUAAAGAAGCUGGAGGGGCCGCCAUCUCAGCAAGUCAUCGAGGAAGCGACACUUUGCCACCUGCGACCUGUUCGUCUGCCACUGAACAACUGUGUGUUUUGCAAAGCUGAUGAACUUUUUACGGACUAUGAAUCAAAACUGUUCUCUCACACAGUAAAGGGGCAGACAGCCAUCUUUGAGGAGAUGAUUGAAGAUGAGGAUGGUCUGGUAGAUGACAGACUCCCCACGACCAGUCGGGGGUUGUGGGCGGCCAGUGAGACAGAACGGGCCCUUAAAGCCAUCCUGUCCUUCGCCAAAGUCCGCCGCAUAGAGUCUGGCCUUAUAGAGGAGGGAAGCUCCUUCAUGGAGCUCUUUGAGUCCUGGAAGAAAGAAUAUAAGCUGCUGCAUGAGUACUGGAUGUCACUGCGGGAUCAUGUGUCAGCCAUAGAUGAGCUGGGCAUGGCCACCGAAAGGAUGCGUGUGCGGUUACCUGAUGAGCCCAAACCCAAAGUGCUGCAUAUCAUAGAACCUCACGAGGUGGAGCAGAACAGGAUAAAGCUGCUUAAUGAUAGGGCAGUGGCCAAAUCACAACUGCAAAAAAAGCUUGGGCAGUUUCUCUAUCUCACAAACCUGGAAAAGUCUCAGGAUAAGUCCACUGGCGGUCUGAAUCCAGAACCAUGCCCAAUCUGUGCUCGACCGUUGGGUCAGGAGUGGGCCGUACUGACCUGUGGACACUGUUUCUGUAACGGGUGCAUCGCCAUCAUCGUGGAGCAGUACAGCGUUGGCAAUCGACGGAGAGCUAUAAAGUGCGCCAUAUGCCGACAAACCACUUCACAUUCAGAGAUUUCAUAUGUGUUCACCACUCAGAGUGCCCACCAGGGGCAGGACAUCCCUGUGAAGGGUAGCCACUCCACGAAGGUCGAGGCUGUGGUUCGAGUCCUAAAGAAAAUCCAGAUGACCAACCCGGGAGCCAAGUCUCUUGUGUUCUCCACGUGGCAGGGCGUCCUGGAUAUCAUUGCAAAAGCCCUUUUCGACAACAACAUGGAGUUUGCACAGAUCAACGGAAUUCACAAAUUUCAGGAGAACCUGAGUGCUUUUAAAUACGAGGAUAAGAUCAACAUCUUGCUGUUGCCACUGCACACGGGCUCAAACGGGUUGAACAUCAUCGAGGCCACACAUGUGCUGCUGGUGGAGCCCAUCCUAAACCCCGCCCAUGAGCUGCAGGCCAUUGGAAGAGUGCAUCGGAUUGGCCAGACCAAGUAGGCAUCAACCAUGUUCAGCCUGCUCCAAUACAAGUUGCUCACAUGAGUUUGAAUCACAGCAUUUCUCUUGUAUCAAUAAAAUGGCACAAAUUCCAAAAAGACCCACAUUUGUUCAUCGGUUUCUGAUCAAGUCCACCAUUGAGGAGCGAAUGCAAGCCAUGCUAAAAACAGCAGAAAAGAGUCAUAGCUCCACGUCCAUGAAGCAUUCGGAGGCCUCCGUAUUUACAGUGGCAGAUCUGGCCGAGCUGUUCACAGAGGAUAGCGAGGCUCUUGAGUAAAUGUCUCUUUAGACCCAUCAGUCCAGAGGCCAGUAAUGUGAACACUACACUAACACCAGCCAGGAGACAAGCUGCCCACUGCUCUCCAGCACUCCAAUAUGUUUGCUUUGCACAUUCCCCUUUCUAUACGGUCUAUCUCAUGGUGUAAUUUAUUCAUUAUACUCAAUGUGGAAAAGAAAAUGAUUUAAUGUAUCAGUCUUGUAUCUGUUUUCUAGAUUGAUUGAUAGUGGGUGCAAUUUUUAUUAAUACCUUGUUGUGCAUAAAUAAAUGUUUUUUAAUAAUGAUUAAUGAUCCGUAUUUAAAUUAGAAUACAUUUCUAAUGUUAAACAUGCUGUACAGUGGAUUAGUUUUAUCAUUAGCACUCAUGUAUUUGUGAUUAAUUGAACAAACAUUUUAUAAGAAGCCCACUGUAAUCACAGUCUGUCAAUCUGUACUGUAAAGUUGAUAAAACACAACAUGUGACAUUUUAUUGGAAAUAUGCACUUGUUUUAUUUUUAAUCUAAAUGCAUUGUAUGGGAUUUUCCAUUGUUUAAGAAGGAAAUAGUUUGACUUUACAGCACUAAUCUUUGUCGGAGUGUCUUCCGUUCAGAUGCUCCAUUUAGUGGAUUGUCUGUGUAAAGUUGUAGCAGACCAUUUUGAACAUUUAUCUGGUGCUAUUUGCAAGACAAAAGACACCUGAUUCAGUGUCUGUAAAACUCAUCCAAUAAAGAGCCCUUGUAAAAAGUAAAAACAGAAAGUAAAAGGGAAAAAAAAGAGACUUUCUUUGUCUUGGAAAUACCAUGUACAAAGACAGAGAAACUGAAUUCUUUCUGUUAAGCUGUGUUAAAAAACUUUAUAACAUCUUUCACAUCAGUUUGUGAUAACCAAAAUACAGUCUUACACAUUUUCAAAUGGACGAAAAUUACCAAUAAAUUUCCUGUUUACAAAAAGAGAA